UACAGAGGAGCCAAGCGUUGUCCGGAUUGACUGGGCGUAAAGCGCACGCAGGCGGAUGCGCGCGUGGGGUGUGAAAUCUGGCCGCUUAACGGCCAGGCGCCAUCCCAUACGGCGCGUCUGGAGUGAUGCAGAGGUCGGUGGAAUUGCCGGUGUAGUGGUGAAAUGCGUAGAGAUCGGCAGGAACACCCAGGGGGAAACCAGCCGACUGGGCAUCUACUGACGCUGAGGCGCGAAGGCGUGGGGAGCGAACGGG
rnacentral:rRNA from 1 species